rnacentral:misc_RNA from 1 species
GAAGAUUCAUGCAAGCAAAGUUCUUUAUCAUCCUCCACUGCUGUAGGGUUUGACGAGAGGAUGUUGCUUCACACAGAAGUCGUAUUGAAGUCUCAUCCACAUCCUGAGAGACCAGACCGUCUUCGAACCAUUGCAGCUAGCCUUGCAACAGCAGGUAUAUUCCCAGGGAAGUGCCAUCCCAUUCCUGCAAGAGAGAUUACUAGGGAAGAACUCCAGAUGAUACACUCAGAGGAAAAUAUUGAAGC